rfam:Rhodococcus pyridinivorans SB3094, complete genome.
CCGGCUCCGGUUCACGUCUUCGACCCGCGAAGGCGACCCGGCGGCC